GUGGGGAAUAUUGGACAAUGGGGGGAACCCUGAUCCAGCCAUGCCGCGUGUGUGAAGAAGGCCUUUUGGUUGUAAAGCACUUUAAGCGAGGAGGAAGCUACCGAGAUUAAUACUCUUGGAUAGUGGACGUUACUCGCAGAAUAAGCACCGGCUAACUACGUGCCAGCAGCCGCGGUAAUACAGAGGGUGCAAGCGUUAAUCGGAUUUACUGGGCGUAAAGCGCGCGUAGGUGGCCAAUUAAGUCAAAUGUGAAAUCCCCGAGCUUAACUUGGGAAUUGCAUUCGAUACUGGUUGGCUAGAGUAUGGGAGAGGAUGGUAGAAUUCCAGGUGUAGCGGUGAAAUGCGUAGAGAUCUGGAGGAAUACCGAUGGCGAAGGCAGCCAUCUGGCCUAAUACUGACACUGAGGUGCGAAAGCAUGGGGAGCAAACAGGAUUAGAUACCCGAGUAGUCC
rnacentral:rRNA from 1 species